rnacentral:rRNA from 1 species
GACGAACGCUGGCGGCGUGCCUAACACAUGCAAGUCGAACGAGGUCCAUGAGAGCUUGCUCUCAGAAGACCUAGUGGCGAACGGGUGAGUAACACGUGAGAAACCUGCCUCGGAGUGGGGAAUAACUCGGGGAAACUCGAGCUAAUACCGCAUAUCUUCACAUGAUCGCAUGGUCGAGUGAAGAAAGAAUUUCGCUCUGAGAGGGUCUCGCGGCCUAUCAGCUUGUUGGUGGGGUAACGGCCCACCAAGGCAACGACGGGUAGCUGGUUUGAGAGAACGAUCAGCCACACUGGGACUGAGACACGGCCCAGACUCCUACGGGAGGCAGCAGUGGGGAAUCUUGCGCAAUGGGCGAAAGCCUGACGCAGCAACGCCGCGUGCGGGAUGACGGCCUUCGUGGUUGUAAACCGCUUUCAGCAGGGACGAAAAUGACGGUACCUGCAGAAGAAGCCCCGGCUAACUACGUGCCAGCAGCCGCGGUAAGCU